rnacentral:rRNA from 1 species
AGUGAACGCUGGCGGUAGGCCUAACACAUGCAAGUCGAACGGCAGCACAGUAAGAGCUUGCUCUUACGGGUGGCGAGUGGCGGACGGGUGAGGAAUACAUCGGAAUCUACUUUUUCGUGGGGGAUAACGUAGGGAAACUUACGCUAAUACCGCAUACGACCUACGGGUGAAAGCAGGGGAUCUUCGGACCUUGCGCGAUUGAAUGAGCCGAUGUCGGAUUAGCUAGUUGGCGGGGUAAAGGCCCACCAAGGCGACGAUCCGUAGCUGGUCUGAGAGGAUGAUCAGCCACACUGGAACUGAGACACGGUUCAGACUCCUACGGGAGGCAGCAGUGGGGAAUAUUGGACAAUGGGCGCAAGCCUGAUCCAGCCAUACCGCGUGGGUGAAGAAGGCCUUCGGGUUGUAAAGCCCUUUUGUUGGGAAAGAAGAGCAGCAGGUUAAUACCCCGCUGUUCUGACGGUACCCAAAGAAUAAGCACCGGCUAACUUCGUG